CGCGCAGCGUCCCAGGCCCCGGUCCUCCACACUCCACUGUCUCUCACACUCACACAGUCUCACAAAGGCUCGUGGGCUCGUGGCCUGGCCUCUAUAAACCCCCGCCCAGCCGGUCACCCCCACCCCAUCGCAAAUCCUCGCUCGGGCAAGAAGAGCCAACUGAAAAGUAUUCAUCCAAGAACACCACCCCACCCGCUCCAAGCACAAGUUUCGUCUUGAAGAGAGCCGCCACCACCAAUGGCUUGUUACAACACUGCAUCUUUAGCGGCGACUCUGCUGGCGUUCGCGCUGACGUUUCAGGCCUGCCUCGCCGGGAGGAGGCUCACCGCGCUGGUGCAGGAGCCGGCCAUAACCAUGAGGUACCACAAGGGCGCGCUCCUGUCGGGCCCCAUCGCCGUCAACUUCAUCUGGUACGGCGACUUCUCGGCGCCGCAGCGGGCGGCGAUCACCGACUUCGUCUCGUCGCUGACGGCGGCGGCCCCGGCCGCGGCGCAGCCGGAGCCGUCCGUGGCCACGUGGUUCAAGACGGCGCGCAAGUACUACGCCAGCUCCAAGGUGCCGUUCCCGGCGCUGCGCCUCGGCUCCCACGCCGUCGACCGGAACUGCUCCCUCGGCAGGCGCCUGACGGAGAGGGACCUGCUCAGGCUCGCCGCCAGGGGAGCCCCGAGCCGCGCCAUCAACCUGGUGCUCACGGCCGCCGACGUGGCCGUGGACGGGUUCUGCGAGUCCCGGUGCGGCACGCACGGCGCGUCCCCGCGGUCCCGCUCCGGCCGGUUCGCGUACGCGUGGGUCGGCAACCCGGCGUCGCAGUGCCCCGGGCAGUGCGCGUGGCCGUUCCACCAGCCCGUGUACGGCCCGCAGGCGGCGCCGCUCACCCCGCCCAACGGCGACGUUGGGGUCGACGGCAUGGUCAUCUCGCUGGCGUCCAUGCUCGUCGGCACGGUCACCAACCCGUUCGGCAACGGGUUCUACUACCAGGAGGGCUCGGCCGACGCGCCGCUGGAGGCCGCCACGGCGUGCGCCGGCGUGUACGGCAAGGGCGCGUACCCCGGCUACGCGGGCUCGCUGCUGGUAGACCAGGCCAGCGGGGCCAGCUUCAAUGCCAACGGGGCCCACGGGAGGAAGUACCUGGUCCCGGCGCUCGUCGACCUGGACACGUCGUCGUGCGCCACCUUGGUUUAGAUUUCGCUGGUCGUAAUCAGUGUUUUGUGGUGGCGGGUGCUGUGCGUGGAGAGUGUUCCACGCGGCUGACGAUUCUAGUAGUGUAGUGACCUGUGACCAUGGUGGAUUCUUUCAUCUGUUCAAUGAAAAAAAAGAAAUAUUUUCACGCACACACGUCGGUCGAUUUUGCCAACAAUAUACUCUGUUCCCCCAAAGAUUUUGCCAGGUUUGAGCAUGAGCAAGAUGCAUGAAUCUGUACGACAUGAAAUCAUGUGCUAUCCUGAACCUGUUCGCGCAGAUGGUAAAUGUUCGUUGUACCAAGGGAAGAAAGAUAGUAGUUGCACACGAACACUAUGACGCGGUCAGAAAAAAUAAUGCUAUCCGGCCAUGGGAACUGCGAAAUCCGCGAGGAUGUUCCCUGAAGUCAUGUGCGAGAGCCGAGCAGCGGGCGCAUCGAAAGAUACCUGAUUCGAUGUUAUUACGCCGUCUAGUUGUGCUGUAAAACCACUUGCCGUUGCAA
rnacentral:misc_RNA from 1 species